GGCGCCCAUGUAUGGCUAAGGCUGAGCCUUAGCCGCGGUCGACCCGGGUUCGAAUCCGGACCUGUGGACCUUUGCCGCAUCUCUCUCUCUCUGUUUCCCCUCAUUCCAUGACUCUUAGUCACCAAAAAAAAAAAAAGGUCUAUAGCAUGUUAGGUAUGUUAGGAAUGUUAGCUUAGUAUAGUGCGUGAUGAAAAAAGUCGUGUUAAAAAAAAAAAAAAAAAAGUCAAUAGUAUAGCAUGUUAGGUAUGUUAGGAAUGUUAGCCAAGAUAGUGCGUGAUGAAAAGAUUUCGUGAUAAGUCAGGAUGUUAGGAAUGUUAGCCAAGAUAGUGCGUGAUGAAAAGAUUUCGUGAUAAGUCAGGAUGUUAGCAGUGGACUUUUCACCAUCAUUUGAAAAGUAAAUGGUUACGUCACAAUAUAUAGUUUCAGUGCCUUGCUUUUGGCACACUUCAGCACAGUGGAAGCUUGAGAGUAAAACCAGGUCUUCUGGUUCAGGGCCAGUCUCCCAAAUCACUGUACCAACCUGCUGUAUGGAGUAUAAUCAUUUGCAUUGAACACAAUUGUAUGAAUCAUAAAUCUUUAAUAAAUAAAUAAAAUUAAAUGUUAUCAGAUCUCAACCCUGUUUAAGCUGCAUUGAAAAGGUGAACUAUCUGCUGCUCUUAAAGCUUCUGAGCUCAAUAUACAAAGUGAAUCCUUUGGUUUAUUUCCAUUGCUUAUUUCAUUUUUCAUUUCAUUUCAAAAUUUAUUUCAAGCAUGUAGAAUACAAAAAAAAAAAAAAAAAAA